UACGUAGGCAGCGAGCGUUGUUCGGAGUUACUGGGCGUAAAGCGUGCGUAGGCGGUGUCUUAAGUUUGUUGUGAAAUCUCCCGGCUUAACCGGGAGGGUGCGGCGAAUACUGAGAUGCUGGAGUGCCGGAGAGGUAAGCGGAAUUCCUGGUGUAGCGGUGAAAUGCGUAGAUAUCAGGAGGAACACCUGCGGUGUAGACGGCUUACUGGACGGUAACUGACGCUGAGGUGCGAAAGCGUGGGGAGCAAACAGG
rnacentral:rRNA from 1 species